UUCAGGAAGUCUGAGCAAAGCCGAACACAGCUUCCCUAAACUGUCCUAUUUUAAAGACAGGAAGCAUCUGAUAAUCAGUUUGUCUCUCAGAGAGCUGAAUUCCUAACCUUGUCUCAAACUGAAAAUGAUUACAAUAUUCACCUUAAGGAGCAGUCUGACUUUAACCUCUCCUGAGCCUCCCACUUUUUCACACAGUUGCUAAGGAGACGCUGCCCACAUAAGGGGAGAGGCGCCGUUGAGCACUGCUGCUGGGGUCAGUACCACGUCAUGCAGAGUCGCCCUUCCCAAGGGACCUGAAGGAAGACUACCAUGCCCCGGGGCGUCCUUGCUGCCUGCGGUAAGUUACAGACAGCAUUUAAACGCCAUGGAAGCGGACCUAACUAUCAACAUCGCUGCCUCAGCCUCCUCCUCUCCCAUGAUGAAAGCAUCAGUGCAAGCCUUCCAAGGAUGACUGACAGAUAAUUCACUAUUGGCAUACAGAAACACUACAGGGGGUCAGCAUGUGGCCUAAUGGGUUAAGCCACCACCUGCAACGCAGGCAUCCCUUAGUGGUGCUAGUUCAAGUUCCGGCUGCUCCACUGCCAAUCCAGCUCCCUGCUAAAGUGCCUGGGAAAGCAUCAGAAGAGGGCUCAAGUCCUGCUCACAUGUGGGAAACCUGGAUCAAUCUCCUGGCUCUUGGCUUUGGCCAGGCCCAGCCCUGGAUGUUGAGGCCAUUUAGGGAAUGGACCAGCAGAUGGAAGGCCUCUGUGUCUCUCCCUCUCUCUAAUUCUGCCUCUCAAAUAAAUAAAAUAAAUAUUAAAAAAAAAGGAAACA